UGUUUACUAAAGACACUCUUGUCCUAGCUCUAUAUCCACAGACCACUUGUUUUUACAGAGCUUUAAUACAUGAACCGCCUCGGAAGCCUCAAGAUGAUUACUCUGUGCUGUUUGAGGACACGUCUUAUCCCGACGGUUAUUCCCCGCCCCUCCUGGUGGCCCAGAGAUAUGUCAUCUGUUGUAAGGAGGACAAGAAAAAGUGAGGGGGUCAGCUGUCAGCUGUCAGUUUACUGACCCUAUGUGUGUGUGUGGAGUAAGUGGCCACCAAGUGGUUCACAGACGCUCUGUUGACAGACCUGAGUCCUUAGAUACAAGGCAUCACAGCUUCACUAUGUGUUUAUGUGCAAAAUCAUUAGGGCCCCGCAAGGAUUUGCGGGUGCCCUAUAGUAAUCACUCUGUCUGUCCGUCUGUCUUUCUUCCGUCCACAAAUUUCCUGUUUUUUCUUAAUAACUUUUUUAUGGUUGCCCAAUUAAGAUCAAAUUUGGUAUGGUAGUUCAAUAGGCAGAAAGACAUAUUUUGAUGCUAAGUUUGUUUCUCUAUGUCCCUUGGUUUGGAGCUGGGGUGGUGGGGUAUAUUCCUUAACUUUAUAUAAGAAUGCUUUGGCAAAGAGAGAUAACUGCUGAAGAUGUUUCCAUUGUAAACUGAAUGCUGCAAUGAGUUUCUUGGGAUUAAUUAGCUUUCCUCCUGAAGAAAAUCCAAAGCAUUAUCUUUAUCUGUCACAUUGAGAUUAAUUACCACCUCUGUCUGCAAAUGAAGUUUGUUUUGAAGUUCAGUCAAUUUGGAAUGCUAUGAACACUCUGAAAUGUGGAUUUAGAUAUAAAUGUUUAUACUUUAUUUUGGUUAAAAUACCUACACAAUGAGUUAUGAUUUCAUUGAAUUCUAAAAACAAGAAAUAGAUUAAAGAAGACAUAUCUUUUAUAUUUACUUUUUUCCCUUUAUGUAAAUUCAAGAAUAAUAUUAAUUUUUAAGGUAGUUGGAUUAUUAAGCCAUUCUAAUAUUAACACUGAAAAAGUUCUUAUUGUAACUUUAGAAGAAAAUGAUGAGAGAGGUACAAUUAAUCCCUCAGGAUUAAUUAUCUAGCCU